UACGGAGGGUGCAAGCGUUAUCCGGAUUCACUGGGUUUAAAGGGUGCGUAGGCGGGCAGGUAAGUCCGUGGUGAAAGCCCUGGGCUCAACCCAGGAAGUGCGCAGGAUACUGUCAUGCUGGAGUAGCGGAGAGGAUGGCGGAAUUCCCGGUGUAGAGGUGAAAUUCGUAGAUAUCGGGAGGAACACCUGUGGCGAAGGCGGCCAUCUGGACGUUCACUGACGCUGAGACGCGAAAGCGUGGGUAGCAAACAGG
rnacentral:rRNA from 1 species